GCUCAGAACGAACGCUGGCGGCAUGCCUAACACAUGCAAGUCGAACGAGAUCUUCGGAUCUAGUGGCGCACGGGUGCGUAACGCGUGGGAAUCUGCCUUGGGGUUCGGAAUAACUCCCCGAAAGGGGUGCUAAUACCGGAUGAUGUCGAAAGACCAAAGAUUUAUCGCCCUGAGAUGAGCCCGCGUAGGAUUAGCUAGUUGGUGUGGUAAAGGCGCACCAAGGCGACGAUCCUUAGCUGGUCUGAGAGGAUGAUCAGCCACACUGGGACUGAGACACGGCCCAGACUCCUACGGGAGGCAGCAGUGGGGAAUAUUGGACAAUGGGCGAAAGCCUGAUCCAGCAAUGCCGCGUGAGUGAUGAAGGCCUUAGGGUUGUAAAGCUCUUUUACCCGGGAAGAUAAUGACUGUACCGGGAGAAUAAGCCCCGGCUAACUCCGUGCCAGCAGCCGCGGUAAUACGGAGGGGGCUAGCGUUGUUCGGAAUUACUGGGCGUAAAGCGCACGUAGGCGGCUUUGUAAGUCAGAGGUGAAAGCCUGGAGCUCAACUCCAGAACUGCCUUUGAGACUGCAUCGCUUGAAUCCAGGAGAGGUGAGGUGGAUUCCGAGUGU
rnacentral:rRNA from 1 species